rnacentral:rRNA from 1 species
UACGUAGGGGGCCAGCGUUGCUCGGAAUUACUGGGCGUAAAGGGUUCGUAGGCGGUGUGGCAAGUCGGAAGUGAAAUCUCCAGGCUUAACUUGGAGACUGCUCCCGAAACUGCCAUGCUAGAGUGCGGGAGAGGCCAGUGGAAUUGCAGGUGUAGCGGUGAAAUGCGUAGAUAUCUGCAGGAACACCCGUGGCGAAGGCGGCUGGCUGGACCGCAACUGACGCUGAGGAACGAAAGCUAGGGGAGCAAACAGGAUUAGAUACCCUGGUAGUCCUAGCCCUAAACGAUCAGGACUUGGGGUGCAUCCCGUUGGGGGUGCGUCCCGUAGCUAACGCGUUAAGUCCUGCGCCUGGGGAGUACGGUCGCAAGGCUGAAACUCAAAG